rnacentral:tmRNA from 1 species
GGGGCCGAUUUGGAUUCGACGCAGAUUGCAAAACAGUAUAGGGCAUGCCGAGCACCAGUUCCGCUCGUUAAUCUACUGGAAACGUUAAUAAACGCCAACGACGAGCGUUUUGCUCUUGCUGCUUAGCUAGGAGCCGCUGCAUUGAUUUGUUCUUGGAUCAAGCAUUUUGAAGAUAUAAUCCUUAUUUUCAAUAUGUAGCAGCGACAUUCACAAGAAAUCGGUAUGAUUUAUAGCCACGCAAAUCAUAUUUAAAUUUUGUGGAUCGCUUUUGAUCAAGUUUGUCGGUUAACAAAAUCAAAAGCUAAAAAAAAAUUAAUCGACUAUGUAUGUAGAACUGUCUGUGGAGGAUUGGCGGACGGGGGUUCAAUUCCCCCGGCUCCAGUU